CAGGACCUGGCCGGAUUUUGUGAGUAAUACCAGUUUUAAUGCUCUCUGAUUUUUUUAGGAGCAGAGAUAUGUCUGUCUGUCUCCGUUUCUGUCUGUCUGUCAUUCGGCCUGUCUACCUGUCUGUCUAUCUCUCGGACAUUCUGCCUAUCUGUCUCUCUGCCUGUUGGCCUGUCUACUUGCUUGUUUGUCUGUCUACCUGCCUACAUGUCUGUCUGCUUGUCUGUGGGUCUGUUUAGUAUGUCUGUCUGUGGCGUUAUCGGUCAGUCUGUCUGUCUGUCUUGUUGUCUGCCCACCUGUCUAUCAGUCUGUCUGUUUGCCCACUGGUCUGUCUAACUACCCGUUGUCUAUAGACCUGUCUGUCUCUCUGAUUAUGUAUAAAACCUCUCCAGUAUGUCCGUGGUGGUGUGUUUGAGAUUAAUCAGCACUUUGGAGGAGGAUCUGUCUGUCUGUUUGCCUGUCUGUCUACAUACCUGUCUGUCUGUCUACAGAGUGUUUUAUAUAAUGUUAAAUACAGCGUCACGUUCACAAACGUAUGGAACGUUUUAAAGAAACGUUAUCGCAGCUUUAUCGCUAUGAUUUCUACCGACGAGUUCGUAGAACGUUCCUGAGCGUAGUCCGGCGUACAGGAUGACUGACGUGUCUGAGGGGAGAGAAAAAGCGAGACAGAAGACCGAGAGGACAACGAGAUAUCGACUGGAGAAUACAGAAGAAACAUGAAGCUCAUAAUAUGUGUACUGUGUUGGGACACGGGAAGGGAGGAACAAAUCAUGGUGAAAGAAAGAGAAAGACAGUUAGAGAGAGAGACAGACUGAGAGAGAGAGAGAGAGAAGAGGAGAUUAGUAUGCAUGAGCUCACUGUCUCCUCUAAAGCACUUUGUCACCCUAUUCACUCCCUCUGAGCUCUUAUUGAGUCUGGGGUCAUGGCACAGUAAGUACAGUACGGCAGAGAGACAGACAGCUGCAGUUAGACAGCUUGGAUUGUGCAGAAAGACAGGACAUGGCCAUGGGCAGAGACACUGGAGACAGCUUUAGCAGAGGGACAAGAAAUGGGUUAUACAGAGAGACAGGAGUAAGAAGAAAGACAGUAGACAGGCAUACGCAGAGAGACGGUAGACAGGUUUAGCAGAGAGACAGGCAUAAGCAGAGAGACAGGCAUAAGCAGAGAGACAGGAGACAGGCAUAAGCAGAGAGACAGUAGACAGACAUAAGCAGAAAGACAGUAGACAGGUUUAGCAGAGAGACAGGCAUAAGCAGAGAGACAGUAGACAGGUUUAGCAGAGAGACAGGCAUAAGCAGAGAGACAGUAGACAGGCAUAAGCAGAAUGUCAGUAGACAGGUUUAGCAGAGAGACAGCUUCAACAUAGAAAGAGACAAAAGAACAUAAUCAGCAGAGACCGGUAGACAGGAGACAGCGCAACCAAGGCAGAGUUUAUCAGUGGGUGUGAGCGAGAGAGAGAGAGAGAGAGAGAGAGAGAGCGCGAGAGAGAGAGACAGCUGUCUUAUAUCCUGUAAUUCAGUUCAUUGGAUGUUGGUGAAAAUGUAAAGGCACGGCAGAGCGCACUGGUGCGUGUUGAAGACGGAGAGUAGUGUUUACUCAUGUCGCUGAAUUUCACGGCGUUUUGAACGAACAAAUCUUUGGCAUUAUCGCCGAUCCGUAAAUAAGUGUUUCCUCCUCUCUGACGCUUAGCUGCUGCGUUGUUCUUCUUCAGCAACUUGUAAUGGCACGCCAUGCAGAUCUGUCAUCAGUGUUUCCUUCUGGUGUGUGUGUGUGUGUGUGUGUGUGUGUGUGUGUGUGUGUGUGAGAUCAUGCUCGUUCUCUUCCUCCCUGUCUCGGAGGAUCUGUAAAGCACGAGACAAUACAGCACGGUCUGAGGAACAUCUGAAGCGUGUGGAAGAAGUCGGCCAUGUUUGAUGGGCACUCUGGGUGGUGUGUUAGUGAGAAAAACAGGAAGUGAAGAGGAUGGAACAGGAAAUUAAUCCCGAGGAUAAUGAAUAUAAUAUAAAAUUCUGGUUUAAGUGUGUGUGUGUGUGUGUGCACGUCCUGAAGUGUUUUAUUCCUUCACACCACAGCGAAUUUUCCACUGAUUCCGUUUUGUAUUUAUUAAAGAACGACACACAAUGUAGUUAUACCCCAGCACGUGGUUUCAACGGAAGGAGUCUCCAGUGUCGGAGGUAAAGCUGGAAGUUGUUGUUUUUUUUUUUUUCUCUGACAUCUUUAGGACAGAGGGGGUUUUAAUCAUUUUUUUUUGUGUAUCAAACAGUGUUUAUUACAGAACGAGAAAGUGAAGGGACGACAGUUUAGGGCUGCCGCAAGAUAAGUAACGGCAGAAACUCGUGUUGUGGACGUUCUGUAACAAUAAACGGACAAAAAAUAUAUAUUUUCCAAAAAUGUCAUCUUUGGAGAAUUGUUCAGCAGCGGUUAGAAUCCUGGUCAUGAACUGACGAGGUUAAAAUGAGGGAUUGUCGGAGUGAGAGAAACGGCUAAACACGUAGCGUAGUGCUAAGAAAAACAUACACACAAGCACACACACACACACACACACAUUACGUUAGUGUGUAAAUGUUCGAUCUGUUACUGUGUGGGAUUUACACACUGCGUUUAUUCACGUUCUCCUCAUCCUCACUGUGUGCUGCACUUAAAUCUUGCAUCACUCUUGUUUUUAUUUCAAUGCUAAGCUACCUUUAGGGCUUUGAGCCGCCGGUCGUGUCCCAAACCCAUAACACUCUGGUGCUCGGUGUGGUUCGGACCCACCGCAGCACAGUGGAGAGGCUUCAAAGAGCCUGUAGACUAAACAAACAGCUGUUUCUCUCUCUCUCUCUCUCUCUCUCUCUCCUCUUUUUUUUCCUCUUCUCCUUUCAUUUUCUUCGUUCUUUCUCCUUUCCUCCUGGUCCACAUCUCGGAUUGUUCGGGGUUUUCGUUUUAACCCGUCCCGGACUCGGUGCUCUGUGUUUUGCGGUCGAGCGAGUUAAAAUAGCAGUUUAGGAAUGUUCUGUGUCACAGGUGUACAUCAACUCGACGCCUUAUUUCGUCUGCCUGGAAGUAGAAAAUAAAAAGAGUAAUAAAACGAACCGAUUCGUACCGACGCUGUAUUUUGACACUGGAGCGACGUGACUGAAAUGUCGCAGCUGACAGCGUUGUAGAAAUGACGGGUUUCAUUUAUUAAAAUGAUAUUUCACUGCACUGCUACUACCGUCGAAUAGCUCUGUUUUAAUUAAAUACAAAAAGUUUUGUGACGAUAACACAACACAGUCCUGUUCUCUGUGUAGAGUUCAUUUAUUACAGUCUCGGCUAGCGUGUGUGUGUGUGUGUGUGUGCGCACGCUACAUGCACUAGGAGUGUACUGACUCGUGUGGGGACGAGUGUGACGCGGUCGCCGCUCCUGUUGACCCCGUGACCUUGUGUUGUGGAGCCACUCCAACAAGGAGGCUUCUGUUCUGUAGAAUGACAUCACAGGUCCUCUCACCUACUAGUCUGUGUGU
ensembl:lncRNA